rnacentral:lncRNA from 1 species
AUGGUCGGGGAGGACUGUUAUCGUUACUUUCCUGACUUGGAAAACGAAGCCACCGCCUGGAGGCCCAGAGUUUGCCUGAUAAACGACUGUGAGGAUCCAACACCUGGCUCUGCCUCCUUCUCAGGAGUGAAGGAUCCUCAGGAGGAGGAGAUUGAGUGCAUAGUGGAGACUACAGUGAUGGCAGCACUCAUGACAAUGCACUAA